rnacentral:misc_RNA from 1 species
GGACAGUUUACAGGAUUGGCAAUGGGUGAAAAGGCAGACACUGACUUGUACUUGUCCAAGUUUUUCAGGUAGAUUGUUAGAGCCCCAUGCCCACCCAUAGAGUGACCAGAUAUAGAUGCCCGUGAUGUAUCAAGCUGUGGAAAAUUCUCACUCAGAAGUUUAGGUAGCUCCUUGACAACAUAAUCAUACAUACGCCAAUUUUUCCAUUUCUCUUGUGUAGCAUUGAGGUAAAAUCCAGCACCAACACCAAAAUCCCAACUGUCUGCCUCUCCUUCCACAUUC